rnacentral:rRNA from 1 species
AGUGAACGCUGGCGGCAGGCCUAACACAUGCAAGUCGAACGAGAAGGCGUAGCAAUACGCUUGUACAGUGGCGAACGGGUGAGUAAUACGUGGGCGACCUACCCUCGAGUGGGGAAUAACCCGCCGAAAGGCGGGCUAAUGCCGCGUACGCUUCCAUCUUUAUGGAGGUGGAAGGAAAGCCGUGCCGUGGGCACGGCGCUCAAGGAUGGGCUCACGUCCUAUCAGCUUGUUGGAGGGUAACGGCCUACCAAGGCUCCGACGGUAGCUGGUCUGAGAGGACGAUCAGCCACACUGGCACUGCGACACGGGCCAGGACUCCUACGGGAGGCAGCAGUGAGGAAUAUUGCGCAAUGGGCGAAAGCCUGACGCAGCGACGCCGCGUGGGGGA